AUUCGGUGAUCCUAUGCUGUCGAGAAAAGCCUCUAGUGAGUUGGUACACGGCCCGUACCCCAAACCGACACAGGUGGUCAGGUAGAGAAUACUAAGGCGAUCGAGAGAACUGUGGUUAAGGAACUCGGCAAAUUGCCCCCGUAACUUCGGGAGAAGGGGGACCACGGCUGGUGAUGGGCUUUUCGCCUGGAGCUGGUGGUGGUCGCAGAGACCAGAGAGAAGCGACUGUUUACUAGCAUGGUGACCGGAUUUACUCCGUGAGCUGUGUGGGGUCGCAGAGACCAGAGAGAAGCGACUGUUUACUAAAAACACAGGUCCAUGCGAAGUCGUAAGACGAUGUAUAUGGACUGACGCCUGCCCGGUGCUGGAAGGUUAAGAGGACCGGUUAGCCGUAAGGCGAAGCUGAGAAUUUAAGCCCCAGUAAACGGCGGUGGUAACUAUAACCAUCCUAAGGUAGCGAAAUUCCUUGUCGGGUAAGUUCCGACCUGCACGAAUGGCGUAACGACUUCUCUGCUGUCUCAACCACAGACUCGGCGAAAUUGCAGUACGAGUAAAGAUGCUCGUUACGCGCGGCAGGACGAAAAGACCCCGGGACCUUCACUAUAGCUUGGUAUUGGUGUUCGGUACGGUUUGUGUAGGAUAGGUGGGAGACUGUGAAGCUGGCACGCUAGUGUUGGUGGAGUCGUUGUUGAAAUACCACUCUGAUCGUAUUGGGCUUCUAACCUCGGACCCUGAUCGGGUUCAGGGACAGUGCCUGGUGGGUAGUUUAACUGGGGCGGUUGCCUCCCAAAGAGUAACGGAGGCGCCCAAAGGUUCCCUCAGCCUGGAUGGCAAUCAGGUGUUGAGUGCAAGUGCACAAGGGAGCUUGACUGCGAGACGUACAUGUCAAGCAGGGACGAAAGUCGGGACUAGUGAUCCGGCACCGGCAAGUGGAAGCGGUGUCGCUCAACGGAUAAAAGGUACCCCGGGGAUAACAGGCUGAUCUUCCCCAAGAGUCCAUAUCGACGGGAUGGUUUGGCACCUCGAUGUCGGCUCGUCGCAUCCUGGGGCUGGAGUAGGUCCCAAGGGUUGGGCUGUUCGCCCAUUAAAGCGGCACGCGAGCUGGGUUUAGAACGUCGUGAGACAGUUCGGUCUCUAUCCGCCGCGCGCGUAAGAAACUUGAGGAAGGCUGUCCCUAGUACGAGAGGACCGGGACGGACGAACCUCUGGUGUGCCAGUUGUUCCGCCAGGAGCACUGCUGGUUAGCUACGUUCGGAAGGGAUAACCGCUGAAAGCAUCUAAGCGGGAAGCCUGUUCCAAGAUGAGGUUUCUCACCCACCUUUGGUGGGGUAAGGCCCC
rnacentral:rRNA from 1 species